GUGCCCCUGGGCUGCUCUCUCAUCCGAGGGUCGUUCUCGUCGAGAGUAGAAUCCCGCAGUCUCAGGGGUUACCUGGGGGUGUGUAUUUCAAUACUUCUGCUGGAUGACUCUGUGUGUGAGUCUGUGUGUGUAUGUGUGUGUGUGAGCCUGUGUGUGUCUGUGUGUGUGUCUCCCAUUCUCUCUUCUCUCUCUGUCUCUCAGUCUCUGUGUGUUUCUUUCCCACUCUCUGUGGGUUUGUGUGUGCGUGUGCCGGUGGAAGGGGAAAACAGGUGACAUUUCCAUCAAUGCCAAGGAAAAUCGAAAACACCUGGGACCCGAGGGGUGUGGGGGGGGCCUGUGACUGACCCAAGCCACGUUUUCGAAUGCCUACCGGAGGAGCAAAGAGGUUUCUGCAAAAUUCGCCCCAACCCCAACCCUCCAAGGCCCUGGCAGCCCUGACGCAACUUCGGCUGCACAGAGCCCCAGCCCCAGCCCCCAGCCCUAGACCAGUCCCUUUGUUUCCCUUACAUUCGUUUCGGCCAGAAGAUCAAGGGGUUCAGUCCACCCAGGAGCAGAGGAGAGGAUGUCCCUCAAGAAUGAGACAGGAAGUGCAGAGGAAAUGCGACACCACCUGUCGUGGAAGACAAGGCCAGUCACGGUCGCCUAGCGCUCAUUCUAGGUAAUCCACCCACCCAUGAGGGGAAACGUGGAGAAGACACCUGCCUGAGACACCUAUGGAAGCCAAGUGUUCCCGGGCCAUGAGACCUGCCCAAUCAAGCAGAAACACAUUUGGAGAGACAAACAAUCACGACACGGGUCUCCAGGAAGUGUCUCCCUGACGGAGUGGGAAGUCAUCUUAGUUGAAGGCAUUUGGCCAGAGCGAGAGGCAUCCAGGUCCCUGAGAAACAGGGGAGGCAGAGCAAGAGGGAGGACAGAGCAGAGGCCGGAGCCCAGGCAGGAUACAGCACCUUGCCACCGUCACAGGCAUAAGGGGUGGGGUUCCUAAAGGGUGGCUUGUGCAGGGAGGCCAGCGUUCCAGGGACAGGGAUUGUUGCCAUCUCUCAUUCCUGGCUUCCUCUUGCUGACUGUAUCGUGGUGUGGCUUCAUUUCUCAGAGAAGAGCCGCGAAAAGACUCAAACAUCUUCUCUGACGUGGGUCCGCUGAUCUCCUGUGGGACAAAGAGCUCCUGUGGGGCUCUUGUCCUCAUCUGCAGUGUGUUCCUCUUGAUGCUAGAAAAGAGGACGCUCAGGAUGGGGACGAGACAGCAAUUGCUCCAAGACCGACGCAUCUUCUCACGUGGGCCAGGCUUUCACGCAGCCAAAGCAGAUCCGCGGGGGCGAAAACGAUUGACAACCGGCCUCAUGACCCAGGCAGAGACACAGAAAGAGGUUCAACAAAGACAGGCCGCCAUGCAAGAGACAGCUCUGUGGUUCACAGGGCAUAUUCAGCCAAAGACACACAAGCACACGGGCACACACACACAAACCCACAGAGAGUGGGAAAGAAACACACAGAGACUGAGAGACAGAGAGAGAAGGGAGAAUGGGAGACACACACACACACAAACAAAGGGUCAUACAGCAGAGGCAUUGAAACACACACCACCAGGCAACCCCUGAGGCUGCGGGGUUCUGCUGUCAACCAGAACGACCCUCGGGUGAAAGAGCAGCCCAGGGGCACGCAGGCCAACCGGUCCUCGAGAUCACGGACGGCGGCACGACAUUUGGGGAGACUCACUCCAACCAACACCGUCCGGGCAGGCCUGAGGCUGGGAGCCCCUGCUGCUUCCCCCGUCUCCGCCUGGGGGAGCCCACCACCUACCCACCCUCCAUUCACCUCCCCUCCUUAAGGCUCACUAAGCUCUAUUUACCUUUUGUAACUCCAUCCCUCCGUAAGUACACAACUCUCCUAGCUGGUUUCCUAGAGGGCAGAUACAGUGUUUCCAGUUGGCCCUCUGCAGAUAUCUAUGAACAAGUCUCUCCCAGCCCCUACAUAUAAAUAUGUGUGUUCUAGACAGACGGGCCUAAGUCCCAAUGUAAACACAUCACAAGAUAAUUACACCUUAUAUGCAUACAGAUCUCUCUAUAGAGUUAUAUUUGAAAGUGUCUAUAACUCUAGAGAGAGAUUGCAGCAUGCACAUAUAGGACUGUAAUUACUUAUAUGUAUUUUUAUAACUAUGUAGUUAUAAAUAGAUAUGCCUAUAUAUAGUGAUAAUAAUAUAGCAAUAUCUCCAUAGCCAUAUAUGGCUCUAAAUGAAUGCUCUAACUACUCUAUUUCACAAUCAAUAAGUAUAUAUCUUCUGAUACAUAAUUCUAACAAUAUACGUUUUUAUCUAUAUAGCUGUUCAGAGAUAUAAAUCUGUCAGGAUAUCAAAUGUACAUAAAGCUGGAUGGCUGUAAGAGAGUCGUAUAUUUUCCCAUAUAUAAAUCU
rnacentral:lncRNA from 1 species